AACAAUAAUUUAAAAAAAUAUUUAAAACAGUCAGAAUUCUGAGAUUAAAGUCAGAAUUCUCAGAAUAAUAGUGCAAAUAUACAUUUUCAAAUCAAAUCAGAUUUGAUUUAUAUAGCGCCAAAUCGUAGCAGAAGUUGUCUCAUGAUGCUUCACAUAUCGAGCCGGUCGAAACCAGACUCUUUUGGACCUUCAUUUUUAAUUUAUUUUUUUUAGUGACCCUAACCCUCUUCUGUAAACAACAGACCGACUAAAGCAUGGAGAAAAAAUAAUAAGAAGAAAUAAACAGAUGAGACAGUUUACCAGACAACAAUUACACAGAACAAUCAGAAUUUCCAUUGAAAGUUGAUUUUGUGUCCAACGUGUGCCUUUGCUGACAGAUGAUCGUGUUGUGUUUGGCUUCUGUGCAUAUAAACGUCCUGUCGAUGGAACCCGUGGGCGUUCUCAGCGUUUUCGCAGACGCUCUGUGUGGAAUCCUCCGCUCGUCCGACAUCUAUGAAAGACUAAAGCGAGCCUUAAACCCCGUUGUGCAGCUGCGGGUCGGACUCUGAACUGGAAAAAACACAUUUACAGAAGGAGGCGUCGUCUGUGAGCUGCGGCCCGUUGAUCAGACCGCAGCCGUGGACGCAACCGAACACCAGAAAAUGCAACAAAAAGACUGAACCACAGAGUUUCAGACAAACUCAAACCGGUCCACUCUGCUCUUUUCGUACCGAGGAGUCGAUGGCGGCGGUGGGAUGGACGUCCACGUCAAACACUAACGACGCGACGGACGCACGUUCAAACCCUGAAAGCUGACGUCGUAACCGAGCGUGGGCCGUGGUUUUUGCUGUGGCUCCAUUCAUGCCUUUUCCACAGGUGCUGCUUCUCUGCUCAUACAAUCUGAACUCACACCCACUCCAGGACCUCGUCUUCAUCAUCAUCAUCAUCAUCAUGGCCUUCCACGCUGGUCGUACCCACGUAUCGGCAGGGCUGGGCGAUAAUGCGCUAACGUUACAGUUUUUCUAUGAGGCUGAUUCCUGUUUAUGUUCAUCUGUUGUGUUUUUAUCAGAGCUGUUCAACUCAUGUUAGUUCAGGUUCCACAUUCAGCCCAGUUUGGUCUGAACUGGAUCAGACCAGAAAAAGAAGAACAUCAAAACCUACACAUUAUCAGCUUUUAAGAAAAAAAAAAAAAAAACUGUAAACUUUUCUGUCAGGAUGAAAAAAGUUAUAAAAUUAAAUUGAAAUCUGCAAAAUUACAUAAU